rnacentral:rRNA from 1 species
AACGAACGCUGGCGGCAUGCCUAACACAUGCAAGUCGAACGAGACCUUCGGGUCUAGUGGCGCACGGGUGCGUAACGCGUGGGAACCUGCUCUUAGGUUCGGAAUAACUCCCCGAAAGGGGUGCUAAUACCGGAUAAUGUCUUCGGACCAAAGAUUUAUCGCCUUUGGAUGGGCCCGCGUUGGAUUAGCUAGUUGGUAGGGUAAAAGCCUACCAAGGCGACGAUCCAUAGCUGGUCUGAGAGGAUGAUCAGCCACACUGGGACUGAGACACGGCCCAGACUCCUACGGGAGGCAGCAGUGGGGAAUAUUGGACAAUGGGCGAAAGCCUGAUCCAGCAAUGCCGCGUGAGUGAUGAAGGCCUUAGGGUUGUAAAGCUCUUUUACCCGGGAUGAUAAUGACAGUGCCGGGAGAAUAAGCUCCGGCUAACUCCGUG